AACGGUCUAUACCUGCGGUACCUGCGGAGGGAUCAUUAAUGAGAAGCUGCCCCUCGUGGGUAGACCUCCCACCCUCUGUGAACUUACCUUUGUUGCUUUGGCAGGCCCGUCCUCUGGACCGCCGGCUUCGGCUGGCCCGUGCCUGCCAGAGGAUUCCAAACCCUGUCUGUCAGUGUUGUCUGAGUCUAUAUGAAAUCGUUAAAACUUUUAGCAAUGGAUCUCUAGAUCGGAAGAGCACAC
rnacentral:misc_RNA from 1 species